CCUACGGGAGGCAGCAGUAAGGAAUAUUGGUCAAUGGAGGCAACUCUGAACCAGCCAUGCCGCGUGCAGGAAGAAGGCCCUAUGGGUCGUAAACUGCUUUUGUACCAGAGAAAACCACAGUACGUGUACUGUGUUGAUAGUAUGGUAAGAAUAAGCAUCGGCUAACUUCGUGCCAGCAGCCGCGGUAAGACGAAGGAUGCAAGCGUUAUCCGGAUUCAUUGGGUUUAAAGGGUGCGUAGGCGGACUGAUAAGUCAGUGGUGAAAUCUCUCAGCUUAACUGAGAAACUGCCAUUGAUACUGUUAGUCUAGAGUAUAGAUGACGUUGGCGGAAUAUGACAUGUAGUGGUGAAAUACCUUAGAUAUGU
rnacentral:rRNA from 1 species